GGCAGCAGCUAAGAAUAUUCCGCAAUGGGGGGAACCCUGACGGAGCGACGCCGCGUGGACGAGGAAGGCCGGAAGGUUGUAAAGUCCUUUUCCGCGCGAGGAAAUAGCGGGGCAGGGAAUGGCCCCGCGGUGACUGUAGCGCGGGAAUAAGCGCCGGCUAAUUACGUGCCAGCAGCCGCGGUAACACGUAAGGCGCGAGCGUUGUUCGGAAUCAUUGGGCGUAAAGGGCAUGUAGGCGGCCGUGCAAGUCUGGAGUGAAAGGCGGGGGCCCAACCCCCGGACAGCUCUGGAAACUGCGCGGCUGGAGUCGCCGAGGCGGGGCCGGAAUUCCAGGUGUAGGGGUGAAAUCUGUAGAUAUCUGGAAGAACACCGGUGGCGAAGGCAGGCCCCGAGCGGACGACUGACGCUGAGGUGCGAAGGUGCGGGGAGCGAACAGGAUUAGAUACCCUGGUAGUCCGCACAGUAAACGAUGCGCACUGGGUGUCCGCGCAGGAGCGUGGGUGCCGAAGCGAACGCGGUAAGUGUGCCGCCUGGGGAGUAUGCCCGCAAGGGUGAAACUCAAAGGAAUUGACGG
rnacentral:rRNA from 1 species